rnacentral:tRNA from 1 species
AAAUAAGAAAUAUAAUUUAGUUUCGACCUAAAAAAAGAAGAAAUCCCUUCCUUAUUUA